GGAAUUUUCUUCAAUCUCCUUUUGGUCAUCAGAUCUCUAACCUUUGCCACAUCUUUCGACCUCCCUGCAUUUGCAUAAAUGUUUGAAAGCAAUAUAUAAGGCCCAGGAUUCUGGGGCCGUAGCUCAAAAAGAGAUNUGCCUUCUCUGCCAAGUCUAUAUCCUUAUGGAUCCUGCAGGCUCCAAGCAAAGCAGACCACAAACCCUCGUCUUUCUCAACCGUCGUAUUUUCAAUAAAUCCCAAUGCCUCAUUUAGUCUCCCAGCU
rnacentral:misc_RNA from 1 species